AUUGAACGCUGGCGGCAGGCCUAACACAUGCAAGUCGAACGAGCGGCGGACGGGUGAGUAAUGUAUGGGAAACUGCCCGAUAGAGGGGGAUAACUACUGGAAACGGUAGCUAAUACCGCAUACUAUCGGAUGAACCCAUAUGGGAUUAGCUAGUAGGUGGGGUAAAGGCUCACCUAGGCGACGAUCCCUAGCUGGUCUGAGAGGAUGACCAGCCAAACGGGAACUGAGACACGGUCCAGACUCCUACGGGAGGCAGCAGUGGGGAAUAUUGCACAAUGGGCGCAAGCCUGAUGCAGCCAUGCCGCGUGUAUGAAGAAGGCCUUAGGGUUGUAAAGUACUUUCAGCGGGGAGGCGUUACCCGCAGAAGAAGCACCGGCUAACUCCGUGCCAGCAGCCGCGGUAAUUC
rnacentral:rRNA from 1 species